rnacentral:lncRNA from 1 species
GCUGCAUAAGGUCAAUGUGCAGGUAAUUCAAUGUAUGACCUUCACUUUUGUCCCAAAUUUCCCCACUGAUCUUUAUGUUGCUUAUGAUUCUAAAUGAUCAUGUGCAGGAGCUUCACUGCAUCCAUUUAGAUUUAGUCCUGAUGAUAUUAGCUGCUUUAUUUUCCUUAUCCACGCAGCAACUCAGCAACUUCAGACAUGCAGAUUAAUUCUAAUAACAUGAGCUGAAAAGCAGCCUUUGGCAAAGAGACGCUCGGUUAUGCAGUGAACCAACAAAUAUGACGGUCCCUUGACGUUUAGAUGAGACUCCAAUGGCUUGGAAUCAACACGACCAAUGCCAUGAUUUCAGCAAAAAAUGCCGCGUGCAUGCAUUUACAUGUGCCUUUCAACUGAUACCGUCCCCUCCUUGUUUCAACGUGGUGUGUCGUAGGCAUUGCGAAAUUUCAAGGAUCCGCAUUUGAUUCUUUUCGUCUCAUCAGCUUCAUGGCCUAUGGAUUUCUUUCCACUACUGUAACAUUAUAUGUGCCAUCUUAUUUUGUCAAAUUUGUUUUAUUUUGCAGCGGGCAUGCGUCCAGGCGAAAAGUAACAUCAAGUAAGGCUUAGCCAUGAUAUUCCUCCCCUGGAUGGUGGCCUGCACUUUCUUGUAGGGACGAAAUAUUUGGUGAGCAUGAACUCUUUUUGUCACCUCAAGAGGUUCACGUCGGAGCUUGAGCACAAGAGGGGACUCCUCUAUGAUUGAAAUAAUAUCUCUUCAACAUCUUGGAAAAGUUUAUUCCUCUUAACAAAAUUCUUUGUCAAUAAUCAUUAUAUGCAUGUUUCAUCUCCAUUGAUUAGUUGUUUUUUUUUUUUUUGGUACCAGUAGCGCCCUUUUUUGCGGCCCUUUUCUGAGGAUGGCAAUGACGACGUGAGCAAAACCGC